GGGUAAGUAACACGUAUGUAACCUGCCCUCUGCAGGGGGAUAAGCGGAAGAAAUUCCGUCUAAUACCGCAUAAUACAAUUUGGAGACAUCUCCGGGUUGUCAAAGGAGUGAUCCGGCAGAGGAUGGACAUGCGGCGCAUUAGCUAGUCGGCGGGGUAACGGCCCACCGAGGCUACGAUGCGUAGGGGUUCUGAGAGGAAGGUCCCCCACACUGGUACUGAGACACGGACCAGACUCCUACGGGAGGCAGCAGUGAGGAAUAUUGGUCAAUGGGCGGAAGCCUGAACCAGCCAAGUCGCGUGAGGGAAGACGGUCCUAUGGAUUGUAAACCUCUUUUGCAGGGGAGCAAGGCGCGGUACGUGUACCGCGAAGGAGAGUACCCUGAGAAAAAGCAUCGGCUAACUCCGUGCCAGCAGCCGCGGUAAUACGGAGGAUGCGAGCGUUAUCCGGAUUUAUUGGGUUUAAAGGGUGCGCAGGCGGACUGUUAAGUCAGCGGUAAAAUGUCGGUGCUCAACACCGGCCGGCCGUUGAAACUGGCAGCCUUGAGUGAGCGAGAAGUAUGCGGAAUGCGUGGUGUAGCGGUGAAAUGCAUAGAUAUCACGCAGAACUCCGAUUGCGAAGGCAGCAUACCGGCGCUCAACUGACGCUCAGGCACGAAAGCGUGGGUAUCGAACAGGCUUAGAUACCCUGGUAGUCCACGCAGUAAACGAU
rnacentral:rRNA from 1 species